rnacentral:tRNA from 1 species
GCGUCGGUGGUAUAACGGUUAGCAUAGCUGCCUUCCAAGCAGUUGACCCGGGUUCGGCUCCCGGCCUACGCA